GCUUGUGCUCUGGGCGCCCAAGCAAGGUCAAGCCCAAAGAGGUCGAGGCCAUCUGACCUAUGUCGAUCUGCUGAAAAAGGACACUGGAUUUGUGACAGCUGGGGAAGUGUCCACAUGCAUGGGGGACAGGAAGACAUGGAGAAACCUCAGCCGGAUAUCAUUGACCGAGGACACCACUCGAAACAAAAGGAAAUGACACGUAAAUGAACAAACUCACACAGUAAUGGUGCGCAAGGUAAACAUUUGAUGAUGUCAAGUUCAAAACGCCGUGGUGUAUGGAGUUUUUCCACGAGACUCGAAGAACUUGUGACGUCAAAUUGUACGGGCUACAAUUUGCCUGUUCUUUCCCGUGCACAGUAACAACAUUGAGCAAAUUCUUUGCUCUCCUAACCGUACGCACCAGCAAGGUCUGGCCCUUAACGCCGGAAGUAAAGAAUCGGAGCUUACACGUAAGCAGUGAAUUCCGCGUUUACGUCAGUUGUUCUCCUCCGCGUUUAGCAGAAUUCCCCCCCCCUAUCGUGCUUAAUUCGACUGUGUCGUCAUGCUUUCGUCACAUCAAGAUGCAGUUGAGCCGCGCAAUUUCCGAAAUGACCAUAUAUCGCCAAGGAGCCAUCACUCAUUGCUGACGUCAGAGCUACUAUUAAAUGAAGGAGAGGGGAAAACGCGGGAACGUGCGAGAGGAUGACGUAGGCAGUAGCUAGGAUAGAAUUACGCGCUUCAGAAAUUCAUGCAAUGCUUGUACAGGCGGGUGAGCUGAAUGACAUUCGAUAUGAUUUGACUAUACGGCUAGGUCGAAGAGCGAUUUCAAUGCAGCGAUUGCCUCUUAGCACCGGGCAACUUGCACAUGACGUAUAAUACAUUUAUGUGAUUGUCAGGUUGUAGUGUUUGCAAUGCAAUGUCAACUACGGAUUAUGUGCCGUCAUGGGAGUGUGGUUUAUGUUAAUGAGUCAUAUCAAUCUACUGGCCCGGAGUGUUUUAUUAGCGCGCCAUUCUGGGCGAAGUAUGAGGCUUUGAUAUCUCGUCAGCUGAGCAUUGUUUGCGCGAAUAAACAGACGGCACAUUGUACAUAAUUUACACUGAAACAGAACUCCAUUCACCGAAAGAAAUGUAACUAAUUAUUGUUUAGUUUAAAUAGGUGUAUUGAAUCGAAAAGUUGGUGGUUUAGGGUGGACAGUUCAAAACAACACAUAAAUCGAAAACAAACCAUCACAAUAUUGAGAAGCAAAUGAUAUUUUCUUUUAUCUACAGACAUUUAAUGGUGCUCCUUUGAAAAUGGCGUCUCAGCCAUCACCUCUUUAAAAAAUAAUGUCAGGCCAUAACAUUACUACAAUUUUAAUGUUUGUAUCAUUCGCAGAAUGAUGGCAAAUGGCAAAUAAAUUAUGCUCAAAAAUAGUUUUAAUUAACUCAAUCAGUUACCUGCAAAAUGUCAGCUUAGAUCAUCAAUCAUUCUAGUUUUGUUAGAUUUUUUCUUUUUCAAAAUGACGGACGUUGGGUACCCAUUAAAGAAGCAUACAAACCAUAGCAACACACGAUGUACAAAAACUCUAAUUUGACCAGAUAAAAACAAAAUAUGACGAGUAUACUUAGGUCUGGUGCAUCCUCCUCAUCCUCCUACAACCAUACUUCAAACCCAUGAUGUUAUGUCAAGUUUAGUACCUUUGUUUUUUCAAUCAAUCACAAAAGAGAUCGCAGCCAUGACAUAAUUUGUGGACGCUUGUACAUAAUUUGUCCUCUGAUGUUGUUUGAUCAUCGGGUGGCAAAAAUCUUCACGAGAUGGGUUUAAACGAGUUUUAACACAAUUAGGUUUGAUCUUUGGUGUCCAAAUCUUGAUGUUUGAAAACGG